rnacentral:rRNA from 1 species
CAGUUAAAAAGCUCGUAGUUGGAUUUCGGAGUGAGCUAGUUGGUCCGCCGCAAGGUGUGUUACUGACUAGUUUGCUCUUCUUCGCAAAGACUGCGUGUGCUCUUGAGUGAGUGUGCGUAGGAUUUACGACGUUUACUUUGAAAAAAUUAGAGUGUUCAAAGCAGGCUAUUGCUUGAAUACAUGAGCAUGGAAUAAUGGAAUAGGACUUUGGUCCCAUUUUGUUGGUUUCUAGGACCGAAGUAAUGAUUAAGAGGGACAAUUGGGGGCAUCCGUAUUUCGUUGUCAGAGGUGAAAUUCUUGGAUUUACGGAAGACGAACAACUGCGAAAGCACUUGCCAAGAGUGUUUUCAUUAAUCAAGAACGAAAGUUAGAGGAUCGAAGACGAUCAGAUACCGUCCUAGUUCUAACCAUAAACGAUGUCGACUAGGGAUCAGCGGGCGUUAUCGUACGACCCCGUUGGCACCUUACGGGAAACCAAAGUUUCUGGAUUCCGGGGGAAGUAUGGUUGCAAAAGCUGAAACUUAAAGGAAUUGGACGGAAGGGCACCACCAGGAGUGGAGCCUGUGGCUCAAUUUGACUCAACACGGGAAAAACUUACCAGGUCCAGACUUAGUAAGGAUC